GACAGAGGUGCCGAGCGUUAGGCGGAAUCACUGGGCUUAAAGCGUGUGUAGGCGGAGGCCUAAGUACCUUGUGAAAUCCCACGGCUCAACCGUGGAACUGCUUGGUAUACUGGGUCUCUUGAGCCACCUAGGGGCAAGUGGAACAAACGGUGGAGCGGUGAAAUGCGUAGAGAUGCGGAGGAACACCGAUGGCGAAGGCAGCCCCCUGGGCUAACACUGACGCUCAGGCACGAAAGCGUGGGGAGCAAACAGG
rnacentral:rRNA from 1 species